rnacentral:RNase_P_RNA from 1 species
GGACGAUCGUCGGCGGGCAACCGCGGGAGGAAAGUCCGGACUCCGCAGGGCGCCGUAGCAGGUAACACCUGUCCGCCGUGAGGCGCGGAUUAGAGCAACAGAGACGAGCCGACUUCGGGUCGGGUGAAACGGGCAAUCUCUACGGGGAGCAACAUCAAAUAGGCGGCCAACGGAUCGGCCCGAUCCGGCCGCGGGUAGAUGGCUUGAGGCGUUGCGCGAGCAACGUCCUAGAUGAAUGAUCGUCACCCGGGACUUUCCCGGGAACAUAAUCCGGCUUACAGCUCGGCUUU